AUGUUAGCGGCGGACGGGUGAGUAACACGUGGAUAACCUACCUAUAAGACUGGGAUAACUUCGGGAAACCGGAGCUAAUACCGGAUAAUAUUUUGAACCGCAUGGUUCAAAAGUGAAAGACGGUCUUGCUGUCACUUAUAGAUGGAUCCGCGCUGCAUUAGCUAGUUGGUAAGGUAACGGCUUACCAAGGCAACGAUGCAUAGCCGACCUGAGAGGGUGAUCGGCCACACUGGAACUGAGACACGGUCCAGACUCCUACGGGAGGCAGCAGUAGGGAAUCUUCCGCAAUGGGCGAAAGCCUGACGGAGCAACGCCGCGUGAGUGAUGAAGGUCUUCGGAUCGUAAAACUCUGUUAUUAGGGAAGAACAUAUGUGUAAGUAACUGUGCACAUCUUGACGGUACCUAAUCAGAAAGCCACGGCUAACUACGUGCCAGCAGCCGCGGUAAUACGUAGGUGGCAAGCGUUAUCC
rnacentral:rRNA from 1 species